CAGAGAAGUUUCUCUGGUCCCCAGAUCCUGCCCUGCCCUCAAAUAGGACAAACCAGAAAUUCCAAGGAACUAACAACAUCCCUCUGGGGAUAGCCCUCAACUAGUGACAGAUGGCAGUUGGUGUAUAAAACCCUAGUUGCCUCUCCCGUUGAGCAGGAUAACUCUGAGAUCCAUCUUUUUCACCUGCUCCCAGAAUUCCCCAGUGUGAUUAAGUUGGCUUAGUAGUACACAAUUUUAAUGAAAGAUGAUAAUUUGUUGCUGUAUAAGUCCAGCAUUAUCUAAUUUCAGGCACUAUACCUACAAUUACUAGCUUGAUUAGAAAGGAGCUCAAGUGAGUCCAACUGAUUGCUUUAAUUAUAUAUCUCCACAAGGAUCUAUCGCAUACAUUGCCUGCCCUCCAGGUGCUUGACAGAGAGAAAAUCCUGAAAUGCUCAAGAGGAACAAUAUUUGUAGAAAUUCCUGAAAAUCAAGCAUUUAUUCAACAUUGAGCAAAUGUUUGCAUGCUUACUGUGUGGAGUACAAGAGUCACGGAAAAAGCAAGGACAAACUACGUUUAAUAUUCUGGUGGAGCAAUAGGAUGUGACUACAAAUACUAUUCAGAAUAAAUCUGGCUUUAUUUAAAGAAAAACAAACUAAAACCUACCCCAAAUACCUCAGACUGGAAUAUUUUAUCUUUGCUUCUGGCAUGAAAAUGAUGGUUGCUAAGAGAUCCAGAGAAGUGAAAAGAAAAAUGAGACAAAGGAGGCUGAAAUAAUGUUUGCCUGGUUACUCGGAACACCAUGCAGUAUCAGCAUGAAAAUAUUCUCUUGCUUUCUUUCUUAAAAACCUGUCACUUGGAAGAAGUACCUUUGCAUUACUAAGAGAAACCUCCCAUAAGGAUGUCUAAUGAAGGCAAAUAAAGAAACUGAUCAAAAGUCUGAUUCUCCUUUG
rnacentral:lncRNA from 12 species